AUGCUCCUCCGUUCUGGGCGGCGCCUGGCCGCCCAGGAAGAACCGGGGCGGACGGCCCCGCCGAGGAGGAGAAGCAGGGCAAGGUCGGACCGGCUCGCCGUCAUCCCCGAUGAGAUCCUGCAGCAGGAGAUCCUGCCCCGCCUCCCGGCCAAGUCCGUGCUCCGCUUCCGCGCCGUCUGCCGGUCCUGGCGCAGCCUCGCGUCCGACCCCGCCUUCCUCCUCGACCACCACCGCCGCCAGCCGGCGCUUCCCCUGAUCAGGUCCUGCCGGAUCUCCGGCCGCGGCCUCGAAUCCGGCCUCAACGCCAUCCACCUCCGGUCCGCCAAGCUCGGCCCCUCUUUGCAGUUCCCAUUCCGCGGCUCUUUCGGCGUCGCCGCCUCCUGCGACGGCCUUUUCGUCGUCGGCAGCUACAUCAUCUGCAAUCCGGCCACGCGCGAGUGGGCUGCCCUCCGGCAGGACAGGAAGCCCAUAGAGAAUCUCUUCGCCCUCUUCCAGCACCAACCUUCAGGGGAGAUCCGCGUCAUGUACUGGAAAAACAACUCCACAGAGUUGAUCUGUCGGCAGGAGUAUUACGUCCUCACGGUGGGAACCAACAAUUCAUGGCUCGUCGAUUGUCCGCUAACCGAGGUGUUGGCCGAGGAACCAUCCAUCUUUGGUGCGCCGGUCCUCCUCAAUGGCAGCCUGCACAUACACUGGAGGAGACGGUCAGGUCUUCGCUACCACAGGAUACGGGUGUUCGACACAGUGGCAGAGACGUCACGGCAGAUGACUCCGCCGCCUGUGAACCCCCGCCAUGUUAUGCACUUGCUUGACCUGGGUGGCAAGCUUGCUGCGUCCACCAGCAAGGAUGGCAUGACUGAGAUGUCCAUCUUUGCGCUUCAGGACCCUGAGCAUGAUGUCUGGGCAUUCCAGUACCGGAUCAAACUGCCGGUGAUGGAAAUCAGGCGCUUCCAGAAGCAAGGUGAUUGGUGGGCAAAGGUUGUCUCCGAGGAGGGGGACGUGCUUGUCAGCUGCUAUGGCCAUCUCCUGCAGUAUGACAAGAAGGGUAAUUUGGUAGCUAAGUUCAAGUAUGAUGAUGACAUGCCGGUGGUCAUUCCUCACAGGUUCAAAGAGAGUCUUAUCCAGCAUACAUUUUUCCAAAAGACAAAGAAGAAGAAUUGA
rnacentral:rRNA from 1 species